CGCCUUGCUCCACUCUACUCGGACAACAGGGGCAGGACCCAGCCACUGUGAUGAGCUGGUCUGUCAUGGAAGAGAGAUGCCAACUCUGUGACUCAAAAACAAAUCACAAAUUUUAGCCAUCUGGCAGCAGAGAUCUCAGGCAAGACAAUGUUCUCAACGGACUGUCAUGGUUUACCCAACCAAAAUCUAUGCCUUCAGUGUUGUUUUCUACUACAUGACUUCAAUCAGCUUUAUUUGCAGACCAGACUUCUUUCAAGGAGACCCACUUCUUCCAAGGUCACAGCUUCUGCACACGAUUGCUAAGAAGUCAAGUCCCACGGAACUCAGACUGACCCACGGAACAUAGACAGACCUGCUUCUUCCUUACAAACUGAAAUCCUGCACGGUAACGGAGGUGUCAUCCCCGAGCUUCACUGCCAUUCCCGCACACUGCGAGCAGGCAACUUGGGUUAACGGUGCGGCCUGCACAGCCUGGGAUAUGCUGGCAUAAUGCGCGAGUGGCAAAAGCUUCCUUGGUGAAGGCAUUUUAGUUCAGGGGUCACAAACCUUUUUUAUAAUAGGCCAGAGAAUAAAUACCUUCAGUUUGUGGGGCCGCACAGAGGCUGUUGAGAUGACCCAGUUCUACCCCAGUAAAGUGAGAACAUGGUCACAGACCCUAACCGAAGGGCAGGGGCCAGCUCCGAUGUCUUAUUCUGCCUGAGCGGCUGUAUCAGGGAUUCGUGACCUGACCUGGGUGGCUUAUCGACAACACUAGUUCAUGUAUCACCAUUCUGGAGGCUGGAAGUCCAAGGUGAAGGUGCUAUCAGAUUCAAUGUCUGGUGAGUACCUGCUUCCUGGUUUGGGGAUGGGCCUUCUCCCUGUGACCUCAGAAUGAUGGAAGGGUGAGGCAGCUCUCUGGGGUCUCCUUUACAAGAAUGCUCACCCAUUAAGAGGGCCCCACCCUCUUGGUCCAGUCACCAUCCAAAGCUCACUUUGUAAUUUCAUCCCACUGGAGACUUGGUUUCAACAUAUUAAUUUUUUGUUGUUGUUGUUGUUGUUGUUGUUGGGGAGGAGCACAUUCUGUUGAUAGUAUCCAAUAAAACUUUAUUCUGAUAGACUUACAUCUGAAUUUCAUUUAAUUUUGUGUGUUAUGAAAUAUUCUUCAAUCACUAGAAAAAUGUAAAAAUCCAUGCUUAACUUCUAAGCCAUAGUUUGCCAACCCAUAUUUAGAU